rnacentral:tRNA from 1 species
GGAUGUGUGCCCGAAAAUCAAGGAUCACUUUGAUAGAGUGAACUAUAGGGGUUAACCCCCCUCAUAUCCU